GGGGCUGACUUGGAUUUCGACAGAUUUCUUGUCGCACAGAUAGCAUGCCAAGCGCUGCUUGUAAAACAGCAAUAAAAAUAACUGUAAACAACACAGAUUACGCUCCAGCUUACGCUAAAGCUGCGUGAGUUAAUCUCCUUUUGGAGCUGGACUGAUUAGAAUUUCUAGCGUUUUAAUCACUCCAUAACCUUAAGCUAGACGCUUUUAAAAGGUGGUUCGCCUUUUAAACUAAGACACAAGAACUCUUGAAACUACCUCAAGGUUUUAGAAAGUUGGACCAGAGCUAGUUUUAAGGCUAAAAAGCUAACCAAUUUUCUAAGCAUUGUAGAAGUUUGUGUUUAGGACAAGAUUUUUGGACUGGGGUUCGAUUCCCCACAGCUCCACCA
rnacentral:tmRNA from 1 species